rnacentral:rRNA from 1 species
CCUACGGGUGGCAGCAGUGGGGGAUAUUGCACAAUGGGGGAAACCCUGAUGCAGCGACGCCGCGUGUGGGAAGACGGUCCUCUGGAUUGUAAACCACUGUCCCCAGGGACGAAGAUGACGGUACCUGGGGAGGAAGCUCCGGCUAACUACGUGCCAGCAGCCGCGGUGAUACGUAGGGAGCGAGCGUUGUCCGGAGUUACUGGGUGUCAAGGGAGCGUAGGCGGGGAUGCAAGUUGAGGGUAAAGACUACGGGAUCAACGGGUAGUCGCACUCGAUACUGCAGCUCUUGAGUGAAGUAGAGGCAGGCGGAAUUCGUAGGGUAGCGGUGAAAUGCGUAGAUAUUAGGAAGAACACCAAUGGCGAAGGCAGCCUGCUGGACAUUAACUGACGCUGAGGCGCGAAAGCGUGGGGAGCAAACAGGAUUAGAUACCCGAGUAGUC